UGCAAUGGUUUGGUCUGCAGUGGCACAGCGUGAUUGUGGACUAGUCCAUUUUCGUUGACACUUGGUUAAAAGUGCUGGUCAGGGCUAUUGUUAGGGGAACCCAGAUCUGUGAUGCACACGGUGCACGGGCAGUGAUAUAUGGUGUGUGGACACGUGUCACGUUUUGGAACUAGAGAGGUUUCCUGUGAACAGCUGGGGUCAGGUGUAUUAUUGUGAGCUGGGGUGAUGAUCGGUUACCAGCAGCUUGUUGCGUCACCGUGGGGACUGAUACCGAUGGCCUCGUUGAUAGUGGAAGAGUGACGGUCGGAUUUAUUGAGUUGGGGUGAUAAUGGUUACCAGCAGCUUCUGGUGUCACCGUUGACCGACACUAUAGAUGGCCUUAUUUAUGGAACAGGGUGACGGCGAGUCGAGGGUUGCAAGAACAAAGCAACACUGUCGAUGAACUUGACCUGGACUUGGUUACAUGUAUUUGAAAGGGGUCUCUAUUCCAGAGGGAAAAAUAUCCGCCCGGUCCCCCCUUCCCCUAACCCUAACCUUAACUCCAACCCUAACCCCAACCCUAGCCCUAACCCCAGCCAUAACCCCAACCCUAACCCUAACCCUCAACCCUAACUAAAAAUAAUAAUGGAGGGGACCGGGCGGAUAUUAUACCUUCCAGAGACUGAUAAUUUACUGGUGCUUGGUGCCUGGUGUUAUUAUAUAUGAACAGUAUUACCUUAUUUCCAGUGAAUUGUUUAUAAACCACCACUAAAUAUUAAGAUGAAUAAUUAUUUAUUGAUUCUUGGUGAAAUACAAAUGUAAAAUUA